UCUUUCUCCUCCUCCUCAGGGCUCCAGUCAGGCCGAGCCGCUCCGCUCACGGAACAAAUGGAAAUCAUAGGAGUUGAAGUAAAUUGAAAUAAAGAUGGAAAAAAAAUCAAAAGUAUUCUGUGGACACUAACAUGCUACCUGUCCUCGCUAUACCUGACUGGAGCCUGUCCUUCCUGUGAUCCUGGCUGUGUCAGAACUCCUAUGAGUUCAGCUGUCUCUGGGGUCCUGUGAUUCUGUUAUCUUGGGAUCCUGAGAUCCUGGGUGUGUCAGAGCUCCGGAAGUCAAGCUGCCUCUGGGAUCCUGAGAUCCUGGUGUGACCAAGCUCCUGAGAUCCUAUGAUCCUGGGCGUGUUAAAAUGGAGCUUCCUCUGGAUGUUGUGGGACUGGCUGCAGAAUUUGAGCCCAAGGUCUGUUCAGGAAAAUGUCCCAAGACUGGAAGGAACCUGUGCAACUGGUUGGGUGGCUGGGUCCUGCUGGUCCCAGUUACUUCUGGUGUUGGGGCAGAUGUUGUAUCUUCCUCACCUGAUUCUAUGAUCUUGGGCAUGUUAGAGCACCUGGGAGUGGAACUUCCUCUGAGUGUUGUAAGAGUCUGUAUUUAAUGGCUGAAAGCAGAGCAAUCUGUGUGUCCAAAGUAUAAAGUGAACCUUAGAAAGUAAGCCUGUUUAGUUUUGAUACAAAGAUUCCAAGCACUUAACAUGACUGAUUGAAUACAGAUUUUGAAGGAAAGCUAUAACACUGAAAAAAUUGACUAGAUAGGAAUGAAAAAGAGAGACUUCGAGAAAAAAUAAAAUUCCAGAGAUUCAUUAUGAAGUUGUAGUAGAAAAAGGGGAAAAUGCAGAGGAAGUUUUUGUCAAGUGAAGUUAGAUUUGCACAAUACAAAAUUAUUCUGAAGCAUACAGUUCAGUGGCAUUUAGUAUAGUCAUUAUGAUAUCCAACAAUUAAUGUUAUCUGAUUCCAGAAUAUAUGUUCAAGUCCCCUAAAGGAAACUUGCUUCUCAUAAAGCAGUCUCUCAUUCCCCCUUCCCCUCAACUCUUGGCAAACAUUAACAGGCUUUUUGUUUCUGGAUUUCCCUAUUUUGAGUAUUUUAGGUAAAUGGAAUAUGUAUAUCUAACAUUUUAGUAUGUUUUUGGGGAUUUGGUGGGCUUUAGUUUGUACAUAUCUUUUGCAAAUUGUUGUGAAGGAAAAUGCUGUUUCAUGAAUGUUUCUUGAAGUAGUCCACUGCUUUUGGCUUUUUACAGCCUUUCUGCCUGCCUGCUUAAUUCCUUCCUUCCUUCCUUCCUUCCUUCCUUUCUUUUUUAUUUAUAUGAAUACACUGCAGCUGUCUUCAGACACACACUAAAAGAGUGCAUCGGAUCCUAUUACAGAUGGUUGUGAGCCAUGUGGUUGCUGGGAAUUGAACUCGGGACCUCUGGCAGAAUAGUCAGUGCUCUUAACCUUUGAGCCAUCUCUCCAGUCCCUGCCUUAUUCUUAUUCUGCGUAGGUAGACCUCUGAUUCUUGAGGGGAGAGGUGUGAUGAACAUUAUCCCAUUUAGGGCUGACUGAAGUGUUCAGCAUGUCUCAUUCUCUACAAUGUCAGUUGUGGGUCUCUGUCAGUUACCAUCUACUACAAGAAGUUUUGCUGGUGAAAGGUGAGCGAUAUACUGGACUUUAAGUAUAGAUAUAUGUUCUUAGGAGUCAUUUAUGACUUAGCAUGUCUUCAAAGUUUUUUUUAUUAUGGUGUGCCUUCAAUAAACUAUUCUUUCUUAACU
rnacentral:lncRNA from 1 species